ensembl:snRNA U6 U6 spliceosomal RNA
GUGCUUGCUUCGGCAGCACAUAUACUAAAAUUGGAAUAAUGUAGAGAAGAUUAGCAUGGCCCCUGCACAAGGAUGACAUGCAGAUUCGUGAAGAAUAUAUCUAUCAU